rnacentral:rRNA from 1 species
ACGCUCGACACCUACGGGAAGCAGCAGUGGGGAAUAUUGGGCAAUGGGCGCAAGCCUGACCCAGCAACGCCGCGUGAAGGAAGAAGGCUUUCGGGUUGUAAACUUCUUUUGUCAGGGAAGAGCAGAAGACGGUACCUGACGAAUAAGCCACGGCUAACUACGUGCCAGCAGCCGCGGUAAUCUGAGCGGGCUGGCAAGGC